CAGAGAAGAUCACCGGAGAUUCCCGCCACUGAACGGGAAAAGGUAAGUACCGUUGUCACCAGUGUCACCUGCACUAUCUGUCAGUACCGCCACUUUUGUGUAGGUGACACUGGUGACAUAUUUCCAUUAAAAACAAUAAAAGAAAAAGAAGGUUAAUAAAAUAAUUAAAAAAGAAAAAAAACUUCUACAAAAAUAUCCCUAAAAAAACAUAUUUGGUAUGAAAUAUAAAAUUAAGAAAAUAGAAAAAAUAUAUAAAAAUUCCCCCAAAAACUAUAUAACCCCAUACAAAUCCCUCACAAUGCCAUAACCAUGCACUGCCUGUCAGAAUAAUGCUAAGAGGAAUAAUACACUGCACCACAAUAGUAGUGCAGUGUUUUAUAGAAAUAAUCAGAUCUUUGGUGAAAGGUUGCCCUCUAAUGGGAAUAUGGGUGAAAAAAACAACCCAUAAAAUAAAAGUGUAAUAACAUGAUUUAUUGACCCCCCCCCUCCCCCACCAACAAAAAAAGAAAAAGAAAACAGUAGAAAGGCAGAAAUGCUUUUGAAAAAAGAAAUACACAAUAAUAAUUUAUAAAAUUUUCUGCCCCCUCCCCCAAAGAAAACAUAUAUUACCCUUAAAAUGUAUGAAUAAAUAAAUGAAAAUUAAGACAUAACCCAAACAUUACAAAAACAAACCCUCCAAAAACCUGUCAAUAGUCUGCGUCAACAUCAUCCUGGGAUGAUGGGAAGAGUAGUACACUGCACUACUAUAGAAAUAAAAAUCCCUACCAUCUAAAUCCCAAUGUGUUCCAUUUUUUUUUUUGUUCCUUUUUCUUAUGCGGUUUCUUAAUCCCUGAGAUAAGUAGUUCUGGCCCUAGAGUGUUAUAUAUAUUAGCAUCUGUAGCAUGUAUCAGGAACAUGUUAUCAUACCUGUGUCUUUUUACAGGUGACUGAUGUCCGGUGAGAAGGUGAAAGUGACCUAUACCCCCGUCAACUGCAAGAAAGGAACCACAGGACAGGUGACUGAUGUCUGGUGAGAAGGUGAAAGUGACCUAUACCCCCGUCAACUGCAAGAAAGGAACCACAGGACAGGUAAUUAAUAUUUAUAUUAAUUACUGAUAACAAUCAGGCUAGAUGUAAUAUCUAGACCUGCAGAGAUGUCAUAGUCUCCACCUUAUACAUGAACAUAUAUGUGUUGUUAAUAAGCAUAUCGUCUAUGGACAGCUUCUUAUAUAACACAACCAUGUCUCAGGUACAGAGAAUAGGAACAUUUAUGAUCCUUAAUAUCUGUUUUUUAUUUGUAGGAAUUCCUUUUUCAAUAUUUAAUAGAAUAGACCCAACUUACCCCAAGGUUUACAAGUUUCCUUUAGACAAACUGACUGCAGAUUUAGAACAUAACUGUAAUGUAAAGAAAAAUCAAUAAUUUGUUUUUGCUACAAAUAUAUAAUUAUAAAAAUAAUGAGAAUUAAAAAACUAUAUAUUAAAAGACUAUAGCCAUAAUAAUACAUAGCCUGUUGAAAUAAUCAUGAAGCGCAUAAUACACUGCACUUUAAUACUAGUGCAGUGUAUUAUAUGAGCGAUCUUAAGAUCGCUGUUAAAAGUCCCCUUUGUAAAAAAAACGUAAAGGCUAGCUAGGAAUUUUCAUCCGGAAUAACUAUUGCCGGAGGUUCCAAGCGUACAUUACCGUCAUCAUAGAUGGCAAUGUAUUCUGCCCGGAUCCUAUGUAAAUGAAGUUAAAAAUAAACAAUUUAUAAAAUAAUUCACCCCACCCCAACCCCUACAAAAAAAUAAAUGUUUAUAUAAAAAAGAAUAAAAAAAAAAUAACCCAUUUCUCCCCUCACAUAAGCUAUAAUUAAAAAAUCGUCUGUCAACAUAAUGCUGACAGCGAUAAUGCGCUGCACUAUAACACUAUUGCAAUGUAUUAUAUGGGUGAUCACAAGAUCACUGGGGAAAGGCCUGUCAUCGAAUUUGUUAAAAAAAAAGACCAAAAAAUAAAAAAUAAAGAAAAAAAAGUUAAAAAAAAUAUUCAAACAGAACACCCUAAAAAAAAACAUAUUAAAAAAAGAAAAAAUAAUUUUAAACCAAAAACCCGAAAUAAAACCCCUGACAAUACUGUAACCAUACAUUGUCUUUUAGAAUAAUGACAAGAGGCCUAAGACACUAGUGCAGUGUAUUAUUACAUAGCUAUCGAAAGAUUGCUGCUCAAAGUCCCUUGAUGGGAAUAGUUAAAGGAAAUUUGUCACCAGUGUCACCUGCAUUAACCUGUCGGUACCAACAGAUAGUGCAGGUGACACUAAUGACAAAGGUCCUUGCCUUGUCCCGUUCCGUGGAGGGGAUCUCCGGUAAUCUUCUCUGUUAAGCUUCAGCUCUAGGCCCGGCUUGGGGCACGAGUGGAGCUUAGGAAUGUCACUGCUGCUACGAGUCCAGCAGAGAGCAGCAGUGGCUAGGGGCAUUGGCAGAGCUUCGUGACAUCAUCGCUGCUGCUCCCUGCUUGGUCCCGCUGCUAAAGAACAGCAGUGGUGAUGUCCCUAUUCUCCGCCCAUGCACCAAGCUGGCCAGAGCUGAAGCUUAACAGAGAAGAUCACCGGAGAUUCCCGCCACUGAACGGGAAAAGGUAAGUACCGUUGUCACCAGUGUCACCUGCACUAUCUGUCAGUACCGCCACUUUUGUGUAGGUGACACUGGUGAAAUAUUUCCAUUAAAAACAAUAAAAGAAAAAGAAGGUUAAUAAAAUAAUUAAAAAAGAAAAAAAACUUCUACAAAAAUAUCCCUAAAAAAACAUAUUUGGUAUGAAAUAUAAAAUUAAGAAAAUAGAAAAAAUAUAUAAAAAUUCCCCAAAAAACUAUAUAACCCCAUACAAAUCCCUCACAAUGCCAUAACCAUGCACUGCCUGUCAGAAUAAUGCUAAGAGGAAUAAUACACUGCACCACAAUAGUAGUGCAGUGUUUUAUAGAAAUAAUCAGAUCUUUUGUGAAAGAUUGCCCUCUAAUGAGAAUAUGGGUGAAAAAAACAACCCAUAAAAUAAAAGUGUAAUAACAUGAUUUAUUGACCCCCCCCCCUCC